rnacentral:scRNA from 1 species
CUGGUCCGAGUGCAGUGGUGUUUAUAACAAAUUGAUUACAACCAGUCACAGAUUUCUUUCUUUCUUUU